AUACGUAGGUGGCAAGCGUUGUCCGGAAUUACUGGGUGUAAAGGGAGCGCAGGCGGGGAUGCAAGUUGGAUGUGAAAUACCGCAGCUUAACUGCGGAGCUGCAUCCAAAACUGUAUUUCUUGAGUGAAGUAGAGGUAGGCGGAAUUCCUAGUGUAGCGGUGAAAUGCGUAGAUAUUAGGAGGAACACCAGUGGCGAAGGCGGCCUACUGGGCUUUAACUGACGCUGAGGCUCGAAAGUGUGGGGAGCAAACAGGAUUAGAUACCCUGGUAGUCCACACUGUAAACGAUGAAUGCUAGGUGUAGGGGGUAUCGACCCCUUCUGUGCCGCAGUUAACACAAUAAGCAUUCCGCCUGGGGAGUACGGCCGCAAGGUUGAAACUCAAAUGAAUUGACGGGG
rnacentral:rRNA from 1 species